rnacentral:rRNA from 1 species
UACGAAGGGGGCUAGCGUUGCUCGGAAUCACUGGGCGUAAAGGGUGCGUAGGCGGGUCUUUAAGUCAGGGGUGAAAUCCCUCGGCUUAACUGAGGACGUGCGGAAGAAACUGCAAGGCUCGAGUCCGGGAGAGGGGGGUGGAAUUCCCAGUGUAGCGGUGGAAAUGCGUAGAUAUCAGGAAGAACACCCGUGGCGAAGGCGGCUCUCUGGGACGGUACUGACGGCUGAGACGCGAAAGCGUGGGGAGCGAACAGGAUUAAGAAACCCCA